rnacentral:rRNA from 1 species
GGAGUUAGCCGGUGCUUCUUCUGUGAGUGAUGUCCUUCCUGCCGGCUAUUAACCCGCAGGCCUUCUUCCUCACUGAAAGUGCUUUACAACCCGAAGGCCUUCUUCACACACGCGGCAUGGCUGGAUCAGGGUUGCCCCCAUUGUCCAAUAUUCCCCACUGCUGCCUCCCGUAGGAGUCUGGGCCGUGUCUCAGUCCCAGUGUGGCUGAUCAUCCUCUCAGACCAGCUACGGAUCGUCGCCUUGGUGAGCCGUUACCUCACCAACCAGCUAAUCCGACAUAGGCUCAUCCGAUAGCGCGAGGCCCGAAGGUCCCCCGNUUUCCCCCGUAGGGCGUAUGCGGUAUUAGCCUGGGUUUCCCCAGGUUAUCCCCCACUACCGGGCAGAUUCCUAUGCAUUACUCACCCGUCCGCCGCUCGCCACCAGGGAGCAAGCUCCCCGUGCUGCCGCUCGACUUGCAUGUGUUAGGCCUGCCGCCAGCGUUCAAUCUGAGCCAUGAUCAAACUCUGA